ACAAGACGUCAGCCUCGUUUUGCAAGCACAGGCCCGAUUAGGACAAAUCAGAGACAGUCAUUGUGAUUCCGUGAGAAUCCAGUUGGAAGACAGAAUUAGAGGCCUCGAAAGUGAAUUGGACAGGGUAAAAAGAACCCAACAAGAGAGUGCUUCUCGUAAAGAAGCAACGCAGGCAGAAAUGACGAUGUACAAAGACCUGUAUCUGGAGGAAGUGAAAACCAGAAGAUGCCUAGCCAAGAAAGUGGAAAGGUUGGAAAAGCUUCUGAGGCUAGAGAGGAGGAAAGUCAGGCUUAAUGAAGAGAAAGAAAGCCAGCCCCAG